UACGGAGGGUGGCAAGCGUUAUCCGGAUUCACUGGGUUUAAAGGGAGCGUAGGUGGGUUGGUAAGUCAGUGGUGAAAUCCCCGAGCUUAACUUGGGAACUGCCAUUGAUACUAUCAGUCUUGAAUACUGUGGAGGUUAGCGGAAUAUGUCAUGUAGCGGUGAAAUGCUUAGAUAUGACAUAGAACACCAAUUGCGAAGGCAGCUGGCUACACAUAUAUUGACACUGAGGCACGAAAGCGUGGGGAUCAAACAGG
rnacentral:rRNA from 1 species